rnacentral:lncRNA from 1 species
AUUCGUCCUGUUGUGGGCUCAGGGCCCCAGGAGUCACUUAGCCCUUCCUCUUUCAAUUCUUGGCGCAGAGGAUGAGAAGAUGACAAGAAGUGGGCGUUUCUUAAACUCUGCACCCAGGCCUGCUGCUUCCUGGACCAACUCUUCCAUGGCCCUGGGUGUCACCCAGUGUUUCUGGAGCCUCUGAGUGGUGCCCGCUGCCUGGCAGCAGCCCCUGGAGGUACCUCGUAGAAGAGGAAUCACACAGGCCGGGCACAGUGACCACACCCAUAAUCCCAGCACUUUGGGAGGCCGAGGUAGGUGGAUCACCUGAGGUCAGGAGUUCGAGACCAGCCUGGCCAACAUGGCGAAACCCCAUCUCUACUAAAAAGACAAAAAAAAAUUUAGCUGGACAUAGUGGCGCACGUCUAUAAUCCCAGCUACUCGGGUGGCUGAGGCAUAGAAUCGCUUGACCUAGGAGGCGGAGGUUGCAGUGAGCUGAGAUCAUGCCACUGCACUCCAGCCUGGGUAAUAGAGCAAGACUCCAUCUCAAAAAACAAACAAAAAAAAAAGGAAGUGGAAUUACACGAAUGUCUUUUUGUGACUGACUGAUUUCACUAGCAUAAGGUCCUUGAGGUUCAUCCUUGUCGCAUAUGGCAGGAUUUCCUCCCUUUUUAAGGCUGAACAAUAUUCCGUUGUAUGUAUGUACCACAUUUUCUUUAUCCAUUCAUCUGUCCAUGAGCAUUGAGGUGACUUCCAUCUCUUGGCUAUUGUGAAUAAUGCUGCUAUGAACACGGGGUUCCAGGCAUCUCUUUGAGACCUUGCUGUUAAUUAUUUUGAAUAUAUAUGCCCAGAAUUGGGAUUGCUGGGUCAUGUGGUAAUUCUAUUUUUAGUUUUUUGAGGAACCACUCUACUGUUUUCUAUAUCAGCCACACCAUUCUACAAUCCCACCCACAGCGCACAAGGGUUCCAAUUUCCCCACAUCCUCGCCAACACUUGCUAUUUUGUUUCUUGGAUAGUAGCCAUCCUCAUGGGUGUGAAGUACUAGCUCAUUAUGAACUUGAUUUGCAUUUCUCUAAUGAUGAAUGGUGCUGAGCAUCUUUUCAUGUGCUUGUCGGCUGUUUGUAAAUCAUCUUUGGAGAAAUAAUGAAAGGACCUGGUAGGGGAUGAUGAUGCACCAGAGACUAGUGAAAGCAGCACGUUGUAACCACCUCUAGCUCUGUGGGCCAGAGGAGAGCACUGGGUACCAGAAUCACAGAUCAGGAGCUGUGGAAGGCGCUGCCCGACAGGAUGGGGGACCCUGGGAGAGGGAUGCAGCCACAUCCAAACUGUGGCCCAGAAGAGGGAGUGGGAAAAGUCCUCGACCUCUCUGUCUUCCUGCUGUCUUCCAAUAUCCUACCUGGGUGAGGUCAGCCUCCUGGGGAUCAGAGCAGGGCAGGGAGGGGUGAGAAUGAAUCCACUGGUGGUGGGGGCAAGGGGCAAAUAGAAUCACCCAAAAAAGAGGUAUAUGUUGCUGACUCCAUUUUACAGUCGGGGAAACUGAGAGUCAUGUUUGGCACAGUUUAGAGGGACUUGGACCAAGAUUUGGACUUUGCUCUAGGUGAUGCCAGCCUGAUUAUUCUAACCUGUAAGCUACACCACCUUCUGGCAGUGGGCAGUGCCCAAUGGGGGAGGGUGCGGGGGCAGUGCCCUUCCCGCCAGAUGCCACCCCUCCCUUGAGCUUGGUCGAGGGUGAUCUGCCUUCUCCUUCCUUCCUCUUCCAUUUAGAAAGCAACGGGUCUGAAAGGUAAUUCUGUUCUUGAUGAGGGUGCAGGCAGCAGAGGGAAUUGUCAUCCUGCUGAAGACACACAGCUCUUCCAUGCUCUACCCUAUGUGUAAUUUGUUCUUAUCUGCUCCUGGAGCCACCACCUGCUACAGUGUAAAGAGACCCCACAGACUCUCUGGAUCAAACUACUCACUGUCCAGAAGGAGAAAAUGAGGUCCUAUGUCUGUGGCUAGAACCCAGGCCUCUGGGGAGCAACCCAGGGCUCCAUCCAGGGUGACCUGAGCCUGCUCUGCUCAUCAGAGCCAGUCUUUACCACCCUUCAUAUCCCGGGAGCCCACAGGUAGAAAGAUGGGCAUUGCAGGUCACCGUGGUUCCCCCACUGAAGCAAGUUCCCUGGCUCGCGAUUAGCCAGUGCUCUGCUGGUUCAUGAUGCGCUCCAAAUGCUAGACCAAGAAAGAAACUGGGUCGGUGGGCAGGACACAGGACCAGCGCUCUGGGAGGAGAGCUGUUCUCAAGCAGUUUGGUGGCAUCAGAGCCUCUGUGUGGUCAGUCAAGCAGGGCAGCCAAUUUCCUCUCCUUUCAGCCCUAACUCUGGACUCCUGUACCUGGAGGGGCUCCCUUUGUGCUCCUGCAGCCCAGAAGCCCUCCGAGGCUUGACAUGAAAGAGUCGCGGGAUCUUGGACUGUUCCGGUGGAAGGGCUCCUAGCAAAACCCAGAUGUUUUCUCUUCUUGUAUGGAUGGGAGGACCGAAGUCCAGAGAAGUGGAAUAACUUGCCCAGGGUUGUGCUGAGAUUUGUGAAGGUGCCGGAUGCUGGUGUGCUGGUGGCUGGCAUGCUCUGAGCCCUUCCUUCCCGCUGUUUCCCUGGAGUUCUGCUUGGCAACCACCCGCCUGCAUUUUUGCAAAGUGAUGUCAUCUGCAGAUAAUGGUUUUUCCGUUCCUGGUGGAGCAGGAGUUCCAGAUACAGUGCUUCGGGGGAGGGGCUCAAGAGAGCUGAUUGUGCACUCCUCAGGCAAGUGGGGGCUGCAUAGACCCCCUCCCCUCUGACAGUCACAUCUCAGUUGUAAGGCAAGGCACCGUCUCAGGCUUCCUGGACUCCGGAACCUGGAAUGACCAAAAUGGCAGAGGCCCCAGAGACAAGCCUCCCCUGCCUCCUCCUUGUAGAGUUGGGAAUCUGAGGCCCAGAGAGGGCAGAGCCUUGCCCAAGCUCACACAGCAUUUACAGGCAAAACCUUGACUCACAUCCCGACUCCUAACAUCUGUGGCCACUUGCCCGUGGUUGGGGGUUUUUCACCCUCAACACCGUUGACAUUUUGGGCCAAGGAGUUUUGUUGUGGGGGCAGUCCCUUUCAUGGCAGGAUGUUUGGCAGCAUCCCUGGCCUCGACCUCCUACAGGCCAGUAGCACCCCUCUCCAGUUCUCAAAUCCAGACACUGCCAAAUGUCUUUCACCUAAGUUGGGGUGGGAGAAAGUAACCCUCCAGCUCCUAAGACCUUUAUCCACUGCCAUAGGCAGGAGAGGUUUCUUGAGUCCAAGCCCAAAGGGUGCUUUGUCUGAGGCUCUGACUUAACGUCAGGCACCUUCAGGAUGGGAGGCAGGCCUGGAGGGGGCUAUGAGGGGCUGGAGAUGGUCCAGGCCCUCCUUCUGGUUAGGAACACUGCUUCCUCUGAUCACUUUUCUUGGAGCAAAACUGCCGAUUUAUUUUCCUGGGGAAAUAAAAAUAAAUGCUGGCUGUUGUAAUCUCAUCCCUGAUCCCAUCUGGAAAAAGCAGGCUCAUGAAUCUUGGCCGCCUGAGCUCUGAGGACUGUGUCUGGCGGAACCUGGAGUUACAAUGGGCCUUCGAACAUCGGAACAGUCACGGCUGACAUUUCCUUUCCCGUUACAUGGCUCCUUGGAAUGUGAGCCCCAGGGGGCCGUCCGUGGGCAGGCGGAAUUUGGUGGAAAGAAGUGCUGCACGGGCCGGAGGCCAGCUCAGCUUCUGACUUGCUGUGUGACUUUGGGCCACUUUUCUGUUCGUUUCUGGGCCUUGAUUUCUCCAUCUGCAGAAUGAGGGGAGCCACGUUCCUCAACAAGGGGUCCAUGGACCACCUUGUAUCAGAACCAUUUAGGGAAUGUGUUUAUGGCUAUUCCUGAUAUUUCUGAUUCCUCUUCCAGACCUCCUAAAGUUUUUAUGCAUCUCUAAGUGAUUUCGAUAUAUAUAAGUUUUGGGACCCACAACACCAAGGACUUUGAACUUUCCACCCAGUUUCAAGUUUGAACACAUCACAGUUCUUCAGCCUCCUUCCCCCUCAUAACGAAGUGUAGAGUUAUGAAGCUAGAGGGUAAAAUUAUGGGGUGGGCUGGAACUGGGCAUUGCUCCUAACAAUUAUCUGCUUUCAAACUCUUGGCAGGGUCUCUGGGGUCCUUGAUCCAACUGAAAUCACUGUUAAAGCACUUUAUUCCUCCAGUAAUGAAACUCGAGCUGCUAGUUACAGAGUUUGGUUUCAAAAUUGUGCCAUUUAUUAUUUUUGUUGGAUUGGCUUAUAAACCCUCAUAUAGUCAUACAUCAUUUAUAAUGCAUUAUUCCAUGAGAAUGCAUUUUCCAGAUGAGAUUUAUUUUUUCUGUUAAAAACUUAAAACUGUUCUUUUUUUUUUUUUAAAUGGCAGUCUUUCGCCAUGUGUUACCUAUUUAUACCACCUUAAGUGAAGGUCAGGAAAUGCAAUUUUACUUAUUCUCAAUGCUCCAGGGUUGUCAUUGUGAGUUUUAACUACUGUAUGCAUUGAUGUAAAUUUUAGGGACUCCAAAACUCACUGUGCCUGAACUAUGAAUGUCCCCCAAGCUGCUUAGCCCUUGUGUCUGCUUUUAAAAGUUCUGCUUUGCUUCUAUAUUUUUAAAGAUUUCUUCCUCAUGAGAUAUCAGCAGUUACUUCUCACCACGUUAUCAUGACUCCUUUGGAUGAAAAACCAAUAACCAGUGUGUAUCAGGAUUGUCUGUAGUGUAAGAGUUCAUAAUCAAUGAAUGAGAGGACUCUCUGAUGAGUCAGGGAUGUGGAUUUUUGACAUUUGUUUUGGCAGCUGAGAAUAAGGGGUAGUUUUUUUCUUUCUAAUUUUCACCCCAAUAGCAGCUGCUUUCUGAGAGUUUUCUAGAUAAAUGUGAAAUGAGUGUAGAUCGAUUUUUCCAUGUAACUAAUUUACAUUCUGGGUGAACUCAUUUUGCUUCUGACUUAGAGGUGCUUUCAUUUCCUUCUCAUCUGCACCCUGUUCUUGGAGAAGCUGCUCCACCCCUAGCCCAUGAUACAUGAUGCAUGACCCAGCCCACUGGGCCCCCUGAUGCCACCUGGGCCAAUCAGAUUUUCCAGUCAGGAAAUUUGCAAUUGAGAUUCAGAGCUGGAAAGAGUCACCUGCUCUGAUGGGAGCUGCAUUUGUGGACUGUGACUCAGAGGCUGAGGCCCCAGGGAGCCGACCCCAUGGGCCCUGGGCAAGCCCAGAGUGAAUGUGGAAGCCGGGCUGUGGAGGUUCCCUGAGCAGACAGUCCGGGUGGUCACGGUGUCUACAAUUCCAUCACCAGAUCUUCCAUUUCCAGGAGUAACCCUGGGCAGGUGUAUACCAUGUGUCUUGUUUACAGUGGGGAUUAAUAGUUCAAGGAGCCCAAGAUUCAACAAAUAUUCAUGCUGGAAUGGGAUGCAGAAGUCACCUACUUUCAGAGAUGGGGAAACUGAGACCCAGAGAGGGCACAGCCUUUUCUCGGGGGCCUCCAGUGACUCAGAGUCAAAUCUGUGCUUCUUGGCUCCUGGAUCUCUGAGCUGCACCCACUGGACCCCUAUGCCAACCCCAGCACCCCUGUUCUCCAUGGCGGCCCCGCCCUGAGGAUUUCCUAUGCCUUUCUACAGAGCUUUCUCCUUCUCCUAGAUCCCUUUUCUGCAAAACGAGGCUGGGGAGUUCUGAGCCAAGCCCAGGCCCACGUGCCUGGAACCAGAGACAGCGUAAGGAGCAGACACUGCCAGGUCACUUGCAGCAGACUCCAGGAGGAAAUGAGGGAAACAGAACCUCAGCCGUAGCCUAGCCAGGGCUCUCAGAGCCUAGAAAGCUCUUAGGAGAAGUGGAGAGUUGUUCAGAUCCAGGCUAAUUUGUCAUCUCCAGCCCUUCUCUGGUGAUCAGCUUGCCUCUUCCUCUACCUGCCCCUAUAGGUAGAGGAAGCUUGCCCUUCCUCUCCUGCAUCUUCUCCUCCCCUUUCUGUCACAUGCCUUCUGCUUCUUGAGGCCUCUGCCUCAUUGUAGUUUCUCUUGCUGUCCAGUUCCGGUGAGCUCAUGGCUUCUGUAGCCCAGUUUCUCUUUGCUUCCCUUUGUGAAUCUUUCCUGCUUCGACUCUCACUCCCAACUUCUUAACUUACACUCAAUGCUCCCAGAGGGAGGACUUGAUUGGUUUGGAAGUCCCCCACCAGGACAGGCCAAGGAUUAAGUGAGUUCUUAUAUGAGGUCUCUGAUUCCCUAACUCCAGCUAGGUGUUCAAUUAUUCAGUUCAAUUCUGACACCAACUCCAGGAGUUAGUGCAGACCCCAAGGUUUAGGGCUCAGCCCCACAGGGCUGUCCCCCUUUAGCCACCAGUCACACACAAGUCCAGGGACCAUCUGUACAUCUGACUGCCUGGCUCUGAAUUUCAGGGUUCCCAUAACCUCCCCUUCUAGUUAGAUCAUUCACUAGAACAAUUCACAAAACUCAGCAAGUGCUUUACUUACUAUUACCAGUGGAUUAUAAAGGAUACUACUCAAGAACAGACUCAUGGAAGAGAUGCAGGGAACAAAACAUGGGGGAUUUGCACAAAGCUUCCACGCCCUCCCAGCGAGUCCCUGUGUUCACCAGCCCUGAAGCUCCCAAACCCUGUUGUUUAGGGGUUUUUCUUGCAGUUUCAUUAUGAUGGAUUAAAUCAUUGGCCAUUGGCGAUUGAAUUCAAUCUCCAGCCCAUCUUACCCCCAUGGAGGCUGUAGGGGGUGUGGGGGUAACCAGCCCUCAUCAUGAAGCUCUCUAGGGCUCCUCCAUAAGUCAUCUCAUUAGCAUAUGAAAGGCAAUACGUUCAGGGGUUUUAGGAGCUCUGUGCCAGGAAUUAGAGACCAAGACCAAAUAUUUAUAUUUUAUACCACACCAGGCCACUUCUCAGCCCACUGGCCAACUUCAAGAUUGACUGCUGUUAGGUCACAAUACCCACUUGGCCAGGGGUAGAGAUCACUCAGUAUCAUGUGUGGUGUAAGCUGUUGAGAUUAGGCAUAGACAGUGGCAGGUGACUGACGGGCUGGACAACUGACAGAUGCUCACCUUGGCCAGUGUAGGCACAGAUAGGGCAGGACCCCAUUUGUUUAAGUGUUCCAUCCUCAGAAAUCCCCUCUCCCCCACUUCUUCCUUCUCUUCAUUCCUUCUUUGCUAUUUUUAAAUGGCACAUUGGAAAUAAAACAAUUGUCAAUGUAUUCAGCCCUCCCGCAGCGGGCUGCCAAUCAGCACAGUCCAGCCUACCUCCGCUUCCAUUCCCUCCACCUUAGCCCUCACCUCCCUCUUUGCUCUUGCCCCCGUCUCCGGGCACUCAGGUCUCUGUUAGUUUCUCAACAGCUUUGCAUAUGCUGUUCCCUCUAUUUGGAAUGCUCUUCCCCAUCUCCCACCCCUGGCUGGCUUUUCCUGGCCACCCACUCUGAAUGAUGCGCUCCUCUUACAUAUGUGCCCUGUGUGUUUCUUUACUGAUACUUGUCAGCCUGCUGAUCGACUUAUUUGCACAAACAUUUAAUAAAUCACUGGACCGUCUGCUGUAGGCGGGCAGAGAUCAGAUCUGUUUUGUCUUGCUCAGUACUGUGCAAUAACACCUAGAACAGGCCUGGCUUGGUAGAUAGCUAUUGAAUAAGUGAGUGAAUGGAUGAAUGUCAUUGAAUCAGAGAUGAUUAUGAUUCACAAAGGCUUAUAUGUAUGAGUGAAUUUGAAAAAAUAGAAACAACUUGAAUAUUCAAUAAUAGCCAAUUAAAAAUAUAGUAACCUACAAUGGAAUUUGCAUGGCA